GAUGAACGCUGGCGGCGUGCCUAAUACAUGCAAGUCGAGCGAACAGACGAGGAGCUUGCUCCUCUGACGUUAGCGGCGGACGGGUGAGUAACACGUGGAUAACCUACCUAUAAGACUGGGAUAACUUCGGGAAACCGGAGCUAAUACCGGAUAAUCUAUUGAACCGCAUGGUUCAAUAGUGAAAGACGGUUUUGCUGUCACUUAUAGCUGGAUCCGCGCCGCAUUAGCUAGUUGGUAAGGUAACGGCUUACCAAGGCAACGAUGCGUAGCCGACCUGAGAGGGUGAUAGGCCACACUGGAACUGAGACACGGUCCAGACUCCUACGGGAGGCAGCAGUAGGGAAUCUUCCGCAAUGGGCGAAAGCCUGACGGAGCAACGCCGCGUGAGUGAUGAAGGUCUUCGGAUCGUAAAACUCUGUUAUUAGGGAAGAACAAAUGUGUAAGUAACUAUGCACGUCUUGACGGUACCUAAUCAGAAAGCCACGGCUAACUACGUG
rnacentral:rRNA from 1 species